AUGUCACCUGCAUAUCAAGUGGAUGAAGAUCCGACUGUCAAUAAUCAAGAUGGCAGUGAUAGUAGUCCUGAUGAGAUUCAGAAAAAAGGAAAAGGCAAGAACUGGAGUAAGCGUGAGGAUGAACUUCUCAUAGCAGCUUGGGUGCACAAUUCAUGUGAUCCGAUUGAUGGAAACUCCAAAAGGGCAGAGACCUAUUGGAAGGAAGUCGCAGCAGAGUACAACAAAUAUGCAACGAAAGAGCAGAAGAAAACAGUUGGGCAAUGCAAGAACCACUGGACCAAGACCACAAAGAAGGUUACAAAGUUCAAUGGUAUCUACAAUGUUGAAAAAAGUACAUGGCCUAGUGGGAGCGAUGACAAGCAACUUAUGGAGAGGGUACGUGCCAAAUACAUGAGUGUUGCCAAGACAAAAAGACCCUUUCCAUAUGAGCACUGGUGGGAGUACGUGAGGAAAGAGGCUAAAUGGAGAAGGUCUUAUUCAGUUGAAGAGAUGAACAAAAGAAACAAGUUGAAUGCAUCAGGAGCUUAUAGUUCUCCAACCCAGGCAAUAGAUGAGGAAGGUGAACUUCAACGGCCCCCGAGACGCAACACUUCAAAAGACGCAAAAGAUAAACAGAAGUCAUCAAGCAAGUCUAAAUGCUCUGGAAGCUUGACAAGUGAGAGUGUGGACAAAUUUAAUGAGAUUCAACUAAGAAAAUCAAUUGCUGCAGAGAAAAUGGCCGACGCCACCCUUAUUCAAGCACAAGCCACAAAAGUUCAAGCAGAAGCUGAGAAAGAAAGAGUUGAAACUGAGAAGGAGAAGAUAAAGGUGGACAAACUGAGCAAAUACCUUGAUCUUCUUCACAAAGAUACUUCAGCUUAUGAUGAUGCCCAAAAGAAAAGACAUGAACAAGUUCACUUUGAAGUCAAUCACAAUAAGUAUAACUUGGGAUACUACCUAGUAGAUGGCAUUUAUCCGGAAUGGGCGACAUUUGUGAAAUCAUCUAUAAGUUCUACAUGA
rnacentral:rRNA from 1 species